GUGAAAUUGUUGAAAGGGAAACGCUUGAAGUCAGUCGCGUCCGUCGAGACUCAGCCUUGCCUUUGGCCUGGUGUACUUCUCGGUGGACGGGUCAACAUCGAUUUUGAAUGGCGGACAAAGGUCUGGGGAAUGUGGCACCUCCGGGUGUGUUAUAGCCUCUCUCCGUAUACGCUGUUUGGGAUCGAGGACCGCAGCACGCCCUUGUGGCCGGGGUUUUACCCACGUACCGUGCUUAGGAUGUUGGCAUAAUGGCUUUAAGCGACCCGUCCUGAAACACGGACCAAGGAGUC
rnacentral:rRNA from 1 species